UACAGAGGUCUCAAGCGUUGUUCGGAUUCAUUGGGCGUAAAGGGUGCGUAGGUGGCGAGGAAAGUCGGAUGUGAAAGCUCGGAGCUCAACUCCGAAAUGGCAUUGGAAACUACCUUGCUCGAGGGGUUGGAGGGGGGACUGGAAUUCUCGGUGUAGCAGUGAAAUGCGUAGAUAUCGAGAGGAACACCAGUGGCGAAGGCGAGUCCCUGGACAACUCCUGACACUGAGGCACGAAAGCUAGGGGAGCAAACAGG
rnacentral:rRNA from 1 species